rnacentral:rRNA from 1 species
GCUCUCUUCGGAGGGAGCGGCGGACGGGUUAGUAACGCGUGGGAACGUACCCAGAUCUAAGGAAUAGCCACUGGAAACGGUGAGUAAUACCUUAUACGCCCUUCGGGGGAAAGAUUUAUCGGAUUUGGAUCGGCCCGCGUUAGAUUAGAUAGUUGGUGGGGUAACGGCCUACCAAGUCUACGAUCUAUAGCUGGUUUUAGAGGAUGAUCAGCAACACUGGGACUGAGACACGGCCCAGACUCCUACGGGAGGCAGCAGUGGGGAAUCUUGGACAAUGGGCGCAAGCCUGAUCCAGCCAUGCCGCGUGAGUGAUGAAGGCCUUAGGGUCGUAAAGCUCUUUCGCCUGUGAAGAUAAUGACGGUAGCAGGUAAAGAAACCCCGGCUAACUCCGUGCCAGCAGCCGCGGUAAUACGGAGGGGGUUAGCGUUGUUCGGAAUUACUGGGCGUAAAGCGCACGUAGGCGGACUGGAAAGUUGGGGGUGAAAUCCCAGGGCUCAACCCUGGAACUGCCUCCAAAACUAUCAGUCUAGAGUUCGAGAGAGGUGAGUGGAAUUCCGAGUGUAGAGGUGAAAUUCGUAGAUAUUCGGAGGAACACCAGUGGCGAAGGCGGCUCACUGGCUCGAUACUGACGCUGAGGUGCGAAAGUGUGGGGAGCAAACAGGAUUAGAUACCCUGGUAGUCCACACCGUA